rnacentral:rRNA from 1 species
ACACCUGAUGGUAUGAUGAGAUUGCAUGAUAGCAUCAUUAAAGAUUUAUCGGUGUACGAUGGGGAUGCGUUCCAUUAGGUAGUAGGCGGGGUAACGGCCCACCUAGCCAACGAUGGAUAGGGGUUCUGAGAGGAAGGUCCCCCACAUUGGAACUGAGACACGGUCCAAACUCCUACGGGAGGCAGCAGUGAGGAAUAUUGGUCAAUGGACGAGAGUCUGAACCAGCCAAGUAGCGUGAAGGAUGAAGGUCCUACGGAUUGUAAACUUCUUUUAUAAGGGAAUAAACCCUCCCACGUGUGGGAGCUUGUAUGUACCUUAUGAAUAAGCAUCGGCUAACUCCGUGCCAGCAGCCGCGGUAAUACGGAGGAUGCGAGCGUUAUCCGGAUUUAUUGGGUUUAAAGGGAGCGCAGACGGGUCGUUAAGUCAGCUGUGAAAGUUUGGGGCUCAACCUUAAAAUUGCAGUUGAUACUGGCGUCCUUGAGUGCGGUUGAGGUGUGCGGAAUUCGUGGUGUAGCGGUGAAGUGCUUAGAUAUCACGAAGAACUCCGAUUGCGAAGGCAGCACACUAAUCCGUAACUGACGUUCAUGCUCGAAAGUGUGGGUAUCAAACAGGAUUAGAUACCCU